UUGGUUGGAUUUUUACUAAGGGCGCGCCGCGUCAACCCCCACUCCCCAUUCUUCGGCUCCCUAAUUUUAACUAAUUUAACCCACUUCCACUUACCCGUUCCUUUAUAUAUGCUUCCCCCACCCUCUCCUCCUUUUCCCCAUUUCUUCUUGUUGACACAGACUUCUCUACUUUUUCUAGGUUCCUCACUGUUCCGGCGCCAGGUUUGUUUCUUUUUCUUUUCCCCAUUAUGUCCUCGUUUGAGAAUUAGUAUCCGUUUGUGAUUUGAUCAUGUGCAUACGUGAUGGGCUAGUUCUUUAAAUCUUUGAUCUUCAGCUGGGUUUGGUCGUUUUAUAAUUUCCUUCCCGUGCAUGACUACAUUUUUAGAGUAGGAUUUUGACCCCCCCCAAAAAAUAGUAGUUAGCUAGCAUCAGAAGAGAACCCAGCCAAAAUAUAUCAAAAUUUUGACUCAAUUUUUGAUAUUAUGUUGGGUUCUGCAGAAGAACGUUUGAGUUCUACACGGUUUGAAGCUUUUGGAAUUUCACCGUAGAUAAAAAACUUUUUUGGUCUCAAAGGCAAUGGAGGUAUACGGCAAAACCAUGGCUGCUGCCCCUGCAAAUGUUAUUUUUUUGUCUACUAUUCUAGGCCGUGACGGGCCUUUUCCUGUUCACAAAUGUGAUUGGAAAUGCCAAAAUGAACAUGUUUGUGGCAACAUGUAUCGCUGCAAACUAACAGGAACCACACAUAUCUGUGACAAGAACUGUAACCAGAGAAUUUUGUAUGAUAACCAUAGUUCCCUUUGCCGGGCAAGCGGCCAGGUCUUUCCGCUUUCUCAAGCUGAGGAACAGGUGAUCAGAGGCGUCAGGAGGAAGCUUGAUGCUGACAAUUUCCCACCCUCUGAUAGCUGUGGUUUUAAGCGCAGACGUGAUGCGCAGAUUCGUCCUUCUCCUUUUGAGAGAUCUUUCUCUGCUGUUAGUCCCAUCUGCAGCCAAGUUGGAGAUGGCAUGGACUUGAGCUAGAUUAGUUUCGAAUUUAGAUUACAUAUACCGCAUCCUAUUCUUAACCUUAAGGACUUUUUAUCUUGUUUCACUUAUCUAGUUCCCAUUGGAACUUAUUUCAUGGGACAAAUAUGGAUAAAUGGAUAAUAGACCUGAUGAUGGUAGAUAGUUCUACCUGCCUCUAGGAAGAACGUUUUUAUUUCUUACCUUCUCUUAUGCUAUGUAGCCCUUUCCUAGCUUAAUUUUGAGAAAUCAAAUUUACUUCACUUUCUGUCCAACUGAUCUACCUUGAUUUAUCAACUAUGGUGCUUCUAGGUCUGUAAUAAGAGUUUUAUUCUAAAGAUCUUCGUCUAUCUAUUCCUUGGUUAUUUAUGUUUAUUCUAAUUGUUAAUGUUGUGGCAUCUUUAAUUUAUUUUUUCCAGCAUCAAUAUUUUUUGAUGGAUGGUGCCAUAUUCAUUUUUAAUCUAGCUCUAAAUCCACAGAUUCAAUUCUAUUGUUUUGUGUUCUUUUUGCAACAAUUGUAUUUAAUUCUGUGGUUUGCUGUUAUAUUUGAUUUGAUUCCAUAACCUCUAUCGCUUUUUGGUUUGACCAGUGAAUGUAGGUUGAAGAGGAAUGGCAUGGCUGUUGUCAUGUGUUUAUUAUAUGCUAAGUUUAUACUUUUAUAUUUUUUUUUCCUGUUAAUUUGUUAUAUAAGAUCCUGAAGUAAAUGUUGGUUUUGCAGGGUUGAAAGUGCUAUUCAGGAGAGUUAAAAUAUGCUUUUGCAGUAUAUCUGUGAUUGAUUGUAUUGGAUAUCAAACGCAUGCCUAUUACUGCUGAUGGCCUUGACUGUAUGUUACGUUUACACCUUUGCGGCUUGAUGUUGGCAUUCUGGCUUUUGGAGGGAUUUCCCUCAUACAGUGCAUGAUGGUUCAACCUUAUUCAUUCUCAAAUCAUAUGGGCAUCUUCAGGCAGCUACAGGGUAGUGCUACAUGGCCAUGUAUAAAGGUGUACUGUUUGAGUUUUGCACAUGGAAGAACUGCUUCAUGCUAGUGUUUAGUAAUUGCCAUGUAUUUACAGCUUUGAUGGGGUGAAGAAAGGAAUUGGUAUCUUCUGCUCGGCUGCUCAUAAUAAAUGUGCUGAUGCUGUCUUUUUGAAUUAAAAUAAACAUCUUUGGUUUCAAGCCUGGUUUGCUGAAACUAAUGGAGAGUUUUGGGUAAGGUGAGUGAUCUUACUGCCUAAUUGCUUGGUUAAGCUACUUGCUAUAAUCUUUAUACUGACCAUGAAAUAACAUUAUUGUUUGACUUCCACUA